rnacentral:lncRNA from 1 species
AUUAACUCAGCUUGAUUCGACUACUGAUCAUUGAUUCAAAUAUAGAUUAUUAUUACUUAUGAAUAGACCGGUUAUAACUAUUGAGACCCUCUAAUAGCCAAUCUCUCCUUAACUAGUCGAUAACCAAGGUACGACCGUUGGAUAUUUCCCUAAUCAAUAGACAACCCUAGAUACGAUCAUAGGAUUUAAUCAAUUGACAGCCUGAAAAACUAGAGAGACCCAAAUCCUAAUCAACACAUAUGAUGAUUCAUUUAAAUUAGAUUGUUUAUUCUCACAACACAACUCUCUGCUAUGUUAUUUGUCACAAACAUUAAAUUCUUCAUACGAUGAAUCCUUUAAUUGACAAUAGAUUAAGUUGAUAAUUAAAUAGUGGCCAAUUACCUAAUUAACAAACAUAAUCAUGAAAAUAAUACAGAGAAUAAACAAAUACCCAAAAAGCAAUAAAACAAUUAAAGCACAAGAAAGAUCUCACAGUAGUGAUGAAUCAAAGCUUCAUUAUCCUUCAACCAGAAAAAUAGGUUUAGUUCUUCAUAGAGAGAAGAGAAAAAUUAAGAUCUAGGGUUUUUUCUUUUUAAGUGUGCUUAAACGGUAUAGGACUUUAUUUCUUGGUCCAUACAUUACUCUGUUAGCUAUAAACCUAUGUGUGCUUGAUCCUGACAAUAAUGAUUUGCAUCCUGCUUGCAAAAAGGAAUUUUUGGAUAUGUCUGUGUUUGAAAGAACAGGUGUGGUCGAAUUCAAGGAGGGGAAUCUAAUCAAUAGACAACCCUAGAUACGAUCAUAGGAUUUAAUCAAUUGACAGCCUGAAAAACCAGAGAGACCCAAAUCCUAAUCAACACAUAUGAUGAUUCAUUUAAAUUAGAUUGUUUAUUCUCACAACACAACUCUCUGCUAUGUUAUUUGUCACAAACAUUAAAUUCUUCAUACGAUGAAUCCUUUAAUUGACAAUAUAUUAAGUUGAUAAUUAAAUAGUGGUCAAUUACCUAAUUAACAAACAUAAUCAUGAAACUAAUUUAGAGAAUAAACAAAUACCCAAAAAGUAAUAAAACAAUUAAAGCACAAGAAAGAUCUCACAGUAGUGAUGAAUCAAAGCUUCAUUAUCCU